rnacentral:lncRNA from 1 species
ACCUGCCACAAUGUGAAGAAAGUCCUUGUACCCUUCGCCUUCCGCCAUAAUGGUAAGUUUCCGUGAGACCUCCCAGUCAUGCUUCCUGUUAAGCCUGCAGAACUGUGAGUCAGUUAAACCUCUUUUCUUCAUAAAUUACCCAGUCUCCGGCAGUUCUUUAUAGCAGUGUGAAAAGGUACAAAUACACCACCACACUGAAUCAGAUGACCAAGAUACCAGUUCAAGCUAUAGAAUCGAAAAUACGGAUUUUAUAUGCAUGUAUUGUUUAAUACUGUAAUUAGUUACAAAAGAACCCAGAAACCUUUUAACCCAUAGUUAUUGCUUGUAGGAUUUUUUUUAGCCAUUUUUUAAAGCUGCAUAGAUGCAUCUUCACAUAUGUUGCAUGUAUGUUUCAGAAAUAAAUUAUUUGCUAAGAAGUCACAGAAAAGACCCAGUAUUGGACCACUCUAACAGUUAUCACCUAUUAUAGUGCAAAACACACUGUGUGAUCAAUAAAAAAAGAAUGAUUGGAAGAGACAUGGAAUAACACAUUUGUAUCUGAACUACUUGAAGAAAAAUCUGAAGCCCUGAUGAUAUAUAUAGAUUGUGUAUUUCAUAAGUUACUUUAACACAUUCGUAGUGGUAGAUUUCUGUAUUAUCU